GGUUGAUCCUGCCAGUAGUCAUAUGCUUGUUUCAAAGAUUAAGCCAUGCAAGUGUAAGUAUAAAUUUUUAUACGGUGAAACUGCGAAAAGCUCAUUAAAACAGUUGUAAUGUACACGAAGAUCCUUACUAUAUGGAUAUCCAUGGUAAUUCUGGGGCUAAUACAUGCGAAAACACCUGCAAAGGUGGCAAUCGUUGAUGGCUCAGAACCAAUCGGGGUUUACUCCGUUAUUGGGGAUUACGGCGAAAGUGCGGAUCGUUAAUACGACAGUUCGUUCCAGCUUCUGACCUAUC
rnacentral:rRNA from 1 species